UGGAAUCCCAAGUGUGGAGGGGU
rnacentral:piRNA from 1 species